rnacentral:lncRNA from 1 species
CCCCUCUCUCUCUCUCUCUCUCUCUCUCUCUGGUCUUGGGGUUAACAUCUGAGCUUAGGGGUGCUGAGGAUACUCUUUCAGUGAGCGAGAGGCAGAGGAACAAGCUGAGAGGGAAAGGUUAAGGAAACUGUGGCUUCGCGAGCAGGAACAGAUUCGAAGUAAUUCUACAUUCUGAUCCUCUUCUGUGUGAUUUCAAUGCAUGAUAUAGUAUUUUAUCCUGUAACAAUAAGUUUCCCCUGUAUUUCAGAUGAGCCACUUGAGAUCACUUACAGCUACUGGGAUGGGGCAGGUCAUAGGCGAGUAAUCCAAGUAAGGAAAGACUACCUUUGUUGCACUUAAUCAAUAUAUUUCACUCUUGAUUUUGUCUUUCUCAGGUCUCUUUCAUUAAAUAAUGUAUUUAUCUUCAUUCUUUGAUUUUUCUUGGCAUUUAUGUUUGUUUCACUUUCUAUUUAGGUACGCAAAGGUGAUUCCAUAGGGGAGUUUCUUCGGGCUGUUCAGCAGCAACUUGCACCAGAGUUUAGGGAAAUUCGUACCACCUCUGUGGAGAAUCUGCUUUAUGUGAAAGAAGAUCUUAUCAUUCCUCAUGUAAGAUGACUUGAUUUAAUUAAACUUAUUUUAUUUUCUGUCCUGAAUAUAUGCUAAAUAAUUUUGUUCUCUCUCCUGAGUAUCUGCUAACUAAUUCUGCUUUGCUUUUUUCAUACCUGUGGACGCUCAGCAACACAGUUUCUAUGAACUAAUCAUUAACAAGGCCAGGGGCAAAAGUGGACCGGUAAUGUUCAAUCCUUUGUAUUUCUUUUAAUCAUAUUGGUGGUAUUUUCUCCAAUGCUUCAUCUGGUUAGCAAAGAUUACAUGGGAAGAAUAAAAGAAAUUUGCAUUACCAUUGUUUGAUUAUCCAGAGGAUGAAAGAGUCAACUUAACUGAGCCUGUUUUCUGCCUGGUCUAUGGUUCCCCACUCAAGAUAACACAAGAAGAGAGAAAAAAACAAAUGUGUGUUUCCUCUAUUUGGUUAUCUAGAAAAUGAAAAAGUCAAUUUAACUAAGCCAGUUUUCGGACUGGGCCAUGGUCCGCCAUUCUCACUCCUUCCUCCCAUCCUUUCACUUAGACCAAUUAAAGGAUUAAAAUCUCUCUUUAUCUCUCUCUCUCUCUCUCAAGAUAUGCUAGACUAAUGCAUUUUGCUAUGUGUUCCUUUUAUUCUACUUAGCUCUUCCACUUCGAUGUGCAUGAGGAUGUGCGAACAAUUGCUGAUGCAACAAUAGAGAAGGAUGAGGUACAUUUCCUACCUUAACUUAAUUCUUUAUCAUUAUAUAAUUCUGUGAAGAUAUUUGAAGAAGCUAAGCAACCUUUAAGACUGAAUUUUAGAAGCAAGUUCGGAGUGGCUAAAACUAAUUCGUAUAUAGUGCAUUAAAUUGCCUUUCUGAAGCAUACUUUAAAUUUCACAUUGUUCUUUUUCACCCAAAAAUAAAAAGUUUCAUAUUACCAUCACCUACAUAUAUCCAAUUGUAUGUAUAUGUAUCUUUCUGUGCAUUUAAGCAUUUAGUACUGCAUACAGGCCAAUCUGAUAUUGGACCUGCUUGGUUGCUCUUCAGUCCUGCUUGAGCUUGACCCUAGGUCAAGUUCUGAUGAAUCUUUCUUUCUGUAGGUCUAGCUGUAUUCAAGCUUGUUCCCAAGCUGGUUGGAGUGUGUUUACAACCCUGUUUGAUUUUAAGCUUGCUUGCUCAUGUAAUCCAACAUGAGAAUCCAAAAGUGCUACUUUCACCAAUGCAGAUUGGUGUUCACAAUGGACUACCAUGGCUUGCUUGGUUCUUUAAGGACCCAUUUAUUUUAGUGGUUAUCUUACUCACUUAGGUAAAAUUAAUCAGAACUUCAGUGAUAAACUUUUACACCUGAAACUUAUUCUUCUCUUGAAAGAUAUUUUCCCCUCAAACAAAAAAGGUUGUGAUUUUACACAUUUUACUUCCUAGCAGCUUGCAUCAGAAACUUAACCAUGAAAUAUGGAUCCUCAAGUAUCUCAAGUCUUUUAGCACUUGAUUGGUGUGAUUGAUUUUGACAGUUCAGGAAAAUUUUCAAGGAAAAUGAUAAUCUGAUGAAUUUAUUUCAUAGUUGAUUUGAAUUCUUUUAUCAGAUGAGGUUUUUCCUAUGGAUUUAGAUUGAACGAGAAACACACACACGGUGGGAUUUUCUUAUUCUGUUUAUUGAUGUCUUGAGACUGGGUAUUUAGUCAGGAUGUUCCUUAUUAUAUCUGAAUUUAUUUAUAUUUCUUGAAUUUCUGUCUCUCUUAUCAACUUAAAUACUCAUCUUGUCUCCAACCUUCUACAGUCCCAUGCUGGGAAAGUUGUCGAAAGGCACUGGUACGAAAAGAACAAACACAUCUUUCCUGCUUCAAGAUGGGAGGUGCCAUCUCUUUCUUCUCUCCCUCUUCCAUGGAACUCAUCAUCAUUAACAUUCAAGUUAAAGCAUUCUCAACAGGAACCAUACCUCUCUGUAUGUUCUCUCUAAUCACAGUUUUUCUACUCUAUUUAAUGCAGAUAUACGACCCCACGAAGAAAUGGGAGCGCUACACCAUCCAUGGAGAUUGAUUAUCAUCUACUAGACAAAUAUUUACAUUAUUUGGCGUAUCUGUAACAUGUUUCUUACAACUUGCUAAAGUCUAUUUCCUCAUCAGAUACCGGCUUCUCUGUACUAAUUAAAGAGUGCUUAGAUUGAUGACUCUGGGGUAAUCUCAUUGUUGUUUAUAACCUUUUAAUCUAUAUAGGUACAUUUAUCCAUUCUAGUCGACGAGGAAAGCCUAGUUGAUAGAAUGUUGUGUGAUUCUUGAAUACUUCUACAGAUGUCUAAGCGUAGUUCAUAAAUUAAACUUAAUUAUGAUUUAGUUUAUUUAUUUAUUUUUAUUUUUUUGUUUUGUAAAACAAUUUUUAACUCUAGUGUAGUUGGCGUGUAAAAGACUAGAAAGAAAGCCAUUUUUCUACAAAAUUAAAGUGAGGGCUUCUUUUUAGGAUUUAAUUGUUAUUUUGAUUCAUGCAUCCAAUUUUCCCUUUAAAGAAAGAAAAGUCCUAACUUUUUUGGGCAUGUCUCAUCCCAACUUUCACAUCCCUUUUCACUUUGAAGAUGCUUACUUGACACUAGGUUUCAAUAAUUCAAUGCUGAAGAAUUAAAAAUAAAAAUAAAAAUAAAUACCAGAUCAAAAUUUUCCUCAAACCCCAUGUCUCAUUUUCCGAAUUUCCCUCAAAUUUCCAAUUAAUUUUCUUUUCUUCUUUUUUUUUUUUCCAAAAUUUAAUUUAAUUUUUAUUAUUUGUCCAUUCGCCUAAAUUUUACCAUUGCUUAUUUUUAAUAAAGCUUUAUUUAAAAAAAAUUGAAAUUUUUUAAUAAUUUUACCAUUCCUUUGUAUUUGGGCGCGUCGUGACACAUGACUUUUUUAUAAAAAAAAAUAAUAGAAGAAAUGAAAAACUAAUAUUAAUUUAAACUUGCAAAAUUGUGGUUGUAAUUUAUAUGUUAAUUAAGAAAAAAAAAACAUGUGUGAGGUUUAGAGGUAUGUGAUAAAAAACAAUAAAUAAAAAUUAAAUACGAAAAUUCGAAUAUCCAUUGACCCAAGAGCCGAGAUUUAAAACCAUAGCCAGCUAUCGGGCCUUUUGUACGAGCGCCUUGGGUCCCUUUCCUUUCGUGCGCUCUCUCUCAAUGGCGAUUAGGGUUUUCUUUCUGGCUUUCCUCCUCCUCUGCUCUCCCUUCCUUCAAGGUUCUCUUCUCUUCUUUCUCAAUUUUCAGAUCUAGAUCCAUUUCCAUUAAUCACGCCUUACAACUUCUUGAUUCCCUGGCUGCCUGAGAUCGGGGGCCUGAAUCCAUUGCCUAGGGUUUUCUUUUCUCAUCACACGAGGUCUCUCUAAAUGGGAUCUGAUUGUUUGAUUCUGAAUGACUAGAAUACGAGGCAAAAAUUAGUUUUCGCUAUCAAAAAUGAUAUAGAGGCUCUUGUUAUUGUCUGUUAGAUAUGAAAACUGAAGUCAACUGAAGAUAAUAGUUGAAUUAUUUGCUUUGAUUGUAUUUGUUUUUGUCUUCUCAGCAGGCAAUCGGGGCCGUAGGUUUUGAAAUUCGUUGACUUUAUGGGCUAGGUCCUAUACUGAGUCGUGUUAUAUUGAAUUCACUUGCUUAGUGAAUUUGAUUUGACUUUGUGGUUGGGAUCUUAUGGAUGAGUUCUGUGAGGUUUUUUUCCCCUUGUAAUUAACUGUUCUUUUACUUGGCAGUUGCUAGAUGUCAAUCGGAGGUGGAAGUUUCCGAAGCUGCUGAAGAAGGAGGUGAUCUUGGCAUUGUUGGCGAGGAUGCCCAGGACUUUGGUGAUGGGAGUUUCAGUCCGGCACCGGGAGUGGAUACAGUCUGUGUUUUCCCCAAAAAUUCGGCACGAUGUAAGAAUAUUUUCUAUAGUGAACGGAACAAUCAUUUUAUGUUUGUGAACUUGCUUCCUUUACAAGAUGUGGGUUGAUUUUGUUUGUCUCUCCUUUUGCAGUGGUGACAGCAGGGGAAGAGGCUGAGCUAUUAGUUGGAAUGAAAAAUGAUGGUAAAAUUCUUAGUUUAUAGAGCUAUUGGUUGGUUUUGCAUUGCCGUGUUCUAGUUAAGUCAAUUUCUUAUUGUUCAAUGCCUAUGUUCUGUAUGAAACUCUGAUUAUAAUCUUAUUUUUGUGAUUUUGUCACUCAGUGUGCCUAUCCAUUUUCUUGUUCUUCCAUCGUUUUCUUGAUUUUUGCAUUUGUGGGUUGUAAAUCAUUAAGGUAGUAGUUCACUUUCUGCUUUUGGAUUAAAAAACAGGAGAGUCUAGCUUGAAUGUAAUUGCAGUUAAGGCCAGUGUCCAUCUUCCUUUUAAUCACCAGCUGCUGGUCCAGAACCUUUCUACACAGGUAACUAGACGUUUACUUACUUUGGCAUGUCAUGUUGGUGCAUUCCUGAUGUCUAAAUCAGCUACUAAUUUCGCCAAAUCAAUUAAAUCCUAUAUUUUGUGCCCAAUCACAUAUAAGAACUGCCUCUACUUAGCUUUUGCUUUUGUUUGUUUUAUUAAAGAUAUCACAUUACUCUGUUUUGCAUUGUGGAAACAUAUUGUGAUUGGUUCUACACAUUCUAUGAAUAUUGUGGUUGGUUUUUUAGUCUAUGGUGCAACAUUGGAGUAAGUUAUCUUUGGUUCAUUGGAUCUCUGUAAUUUUCACAUGUGGUAAUAGUGUUAUUUCUGGCAAUUAUGAGAAUGAUUUAGAGAACUUAAUUCUGCUUCUUUCAUAUUGAAGUGGAAAAAAACCAUGAAAAUAUCUCACCAAAGUGAAUUUAAAUGGGUAAAUGGUAAAGGUGUCACCACCAAUGCUAUGAACCACUCUGCCACCACCAUAACCACCUAUCAAUCCAUCAACUCCUUUGUUGCUGUUAUCUCCAGCAACACCACCAUUGCAAAACAGUAUCAGCAAUCCUGACAUUAUGACCAACACCAUCAAACUUCAUCAUGGCUUGAUUUUGAUGUUUAAUUGCCUGAAAUUAUACCAAGGAAUGUCUACCUUUUGGAUCCCCUGAAUGACUGUGAAAGAUCUGCCAAUAGCCAGUUCUAAUGUCACAAAAAUCUCAGCUUUGUUAGAUGCUUUCAAACAUGUGGAGAUGAAAAAUAUACCUAUCAAAAAAAUAAAACUAAAAAUGUGGAGAUGAAAAAUAUCUUCAGUAUGCUCAUUUUUUGUCUGAUGAUUCUGUUGCUUAGUUGAAAUUACAGUCCGCCUGAUGUCUUUUGUAUUGAUAUGAGCUUAAAAGAUCAUAUUUCCUGCCUAACACUUGUUGACUUUGUGAUUUGUUUGGGAUCUGCAUCUUCCAGAUAAUCUUUUGAAGAAACUGCUUGUAAUGCAGUGUAGAUUUUCUAAAAGUGUCCCAUGCUAUACAACCAUUAUUAUCUGCUCCUAAUUAUGUCAUGGAUAGUUAUUUCCAAUUAUCUUAGUAGUGAACCACUCAUUAGCUCACGGUUGAUAUGAAUCUUCCAUGCAUCUUAAGCUUUUUUUAAUAUUCUUAUAUUUAAAACUGCAUUGGUUUGUCUAUAUCUGGGAAGGGUUUUUUGAUUCUUCAUCAUUCAAUCUGAUAUCAUUGUGAAAUUGUCCUUUAUCACAGCUUAGGAAUAAAAACUACUGUCUAACUUGUUUUAUUCUUUUUUUUUUCUCUGGUUUGUUAUUACUUAUUUACACAUGUUCUAAAUUGUAGGGUUUUAACAAUGCAUCAGUUCCAGCCUCAGCUCAGGCUACUUUCCCAUACAUAUUUGCUGUUAGCAAGUACUUGCAGGUACCAGCAUUAACAUGGAAGUUUUUCAUGUUUGUUUAAAUAAAUAUUUCAGCCUUAACUCUAUAGAAAUAAUAAAAACAUAGUUGACCUUAAGCAUAAUAUCGUUUCUUCUUUCAGCCCGGAACAUUUGAUCUUGUGGGCACCAUUGUUUAUGAGAUAGACCAGCAUCCCUAUCAAAGCGUUUUCUACAAUGGAACCAUUGAAGUUGUUGAGGCUGGCGGUUUUGUCAGCAUUGAGUCUGUUUUCCUUGUCUUCCUUGGAAUUGCCCUACUUGUCUUUUUUGGAGUAUGGAUACGUGGCCAAAUACAAAACUUAUCCAAGGUAUUUUCUUUCUAACAUGCAUUUAUUGUAAACAAUGUACUCCAUUACAUGUCAUACAAACUGGCAUAUUUAUGAUUCAUUUAACCUUCAUUUGAUAUUCAUGAUUGUACCUGUCCAAUUUGACAAUCCCAGUUUUGGCUUGAAACAGUCCUAUUGCAAUUGCCUGUGUUGAGAUCUCUGUUCAGUGGAAUUUGGAAUUUACCUCAUUAUGGAGAUUUUAAUUUGAGGAAUGGGAAACUGCCUAUUUGUUUUAGCAAGUUUGGUUGCUGUUUCUGUGAAUUCUUUGACAUGCAUUUCUCCCUAGACUCCCCCCGGCGACCACACACACACCCUAUGCUUGCAUGUACAAGAGAAGCCUACACACACAUGAGAAAGAAGCAGACAGCUUAUUUGAUAUUUGCCUGUGACUUUUCAUUUAUUUUAUUUGUCCACUUACUUUUCCAUUUUCCUUCAGAAAAAUCUCUAAUUCUUUUCUGCUUUAAUGUGUAUGGUUUGAUUCGUAAGAAAACUAAGAGGGCGCCAAAGGUAGAAGUUGGAACUGGGACUACAGAUGCCUCACUGGAUGAGUGGCUUCAGGUGUGUAGUUUCUGCAUCAUCAUCAUCAUACACGAAUCAUUCCCCACUGUUUUGUCAUUUCAUUCUUUCCAUGAUUUGCAUUUCUACUUUGUUAUUUUUUUGAGUUUCCUUCUGCUGGCAAGGAGUGAGGAUGAAAAUCCUUUUUGUCUUUUAGGUACAAAAGUUAGGUUUAAUUAUCAUGAAAUUAUUGCCGAGAAUGAGAUGAGAACAAUUGUUGCUGGUAUCUUAUUUUUUUCCCUUCUUUUCACUGUUCAGGGGACUGCGUAUACUCAAUCAUUGUCCAGCAAAUCAAAGAAAAAGAAGUGAAUGUGCUCACUACACCAAAAUGCGGACUUCUGUAACUCACAUUAGUCAUUUGAAGAUCUUUAAGUUAUCCCAAAGGUUUAAAUAGUUUUGGGAAAUUAGACUAGAAAAGACCUGCCUUGCUGUUGUAGCAUGUCGACAAAACUUUGCAUUUAAAUUUUUGUUGGAGAUACUGAAAGUUGAGCCUUUUUUGAAGAAAAACUAACGGAUAUUUGAGGUAGAAAUGUCACAGAUUCCUUAGAACAUAGGAAUUUUUUUUUAGAUCGUGCUUAAUUCUUCUGUUCCAAUUUGAUAAUUAUUGGCUUGUUAUCUUGAUGAAUUGGAAGCUGCAAAGUUGUUUUUUGAGAAUGCCCAAGAAGGAUACAUGUUAUUUUGAUUAAUGCUGCAGCUUUUACUGCAUUUGAUGUGUCAUAUAACUCAUAAGACGCGCUUUUACCUUUCAAUUUUUUUCAAUGAGGGUGUCUAUAGCACAUUUCAAUUGUUUCCCAGGUGCAGAUGGUUUUACCUGAUGCAGGACCACUCAUUAGAGUGAGUGAUACCUGUUAUAAUCUGUUAAAAGCCACCCACCUCUUUCAAGAAGACUUCCAUUUUUAUUUAGGAGUGUUUUCACAGGGAAGUUCAGAAUCCAUAUGAUUCUGGUAAGAACAUUUAUCCAUUAUAAUUAGGGAACAUGUCUUCUCCAGAAUUGCAUUUACCCUUGGUUGGUUCAUGGAAUUUAGUAAAAUCAAGGUAGUUGUUGGUUUUCUUGUAAGGUUAAAAUGCCCUUUUAUCGACAGGUCAUAUUCUGUUCUUUAGGAUCAAGUGCAAGCUCGUUCUUUUUCAGUUUUUCUGUUAUAUAGUAAUGAUAAAUAUCACAAGCUGUUAUUUGUUUGCUUUAUCCUCUAUUGUCAUUGCUCGACUGUGUUAGGUGCCAUUGUUGCCCUAUACUUCCCAUGUUGGACGAAUCUCAUUUGCCUCAGUGAUGUCAAGACUCAAUUGUGUUUAUGUGCCAGAUGUUGCUCCGUACUUCUUGGGUUGGAUGGAUUAGCUUCUGCCUCUUCCAUUUAUUUCUGAUGUUACUCUUUACUCUUCACUCUAUUGUAUGGACCAGCACCAUAAAUACACACUGUGCUUCAGGCCCUGGUUCAACGUAUGGCUGGUUCGUUGUCUUGCAUACGGGCAUAUAGUUAUUGCCAGUGCCUAGAAUUUAUAAGGUAGGCUGUUAAAGCCAGAAAAAAAAGCCCCCCGGAUAUCCCUUUCAGAUAUAGGAGAAGCAAGCAAUGAAAAUUGUAUUGUUGCCCAGUCACCCCAUUGUAGCAGGGACUGAUAGAAGAUUUGGCCUUGCCCUCAAGGUACUAUCAUCAGGACAAAUCCCAGAACCCGUUUGUUCGGAUUUGCUGAGAAACUAGGCGAGGAUGGGACCGAUUGGAGAAGCCAUUUGGUUGAAACUCUUCCCUUCUGUUCCAACCCCUCAACUGGGAAGCAAGUGGGAACAAUGUGGGAUGGGGAUUGAAUUCACCAAUUUAAGGACUCCCGAAAUUAAAAAUCCGACCUAAUAACAGGUUUUUCCUAGGGCCAUUUGUUUGAUAUUUUUUUCUUCUUUUGACUGCUAACGUUGACUGAAUUAGGAAUUCAGUUGACUGAAGGGUGGCUACUGAACUUGUAAUUUCGACCAUGGUGAAAUUUAAGUCAUUGAAUGAAGGUAUGAAUAUAUAUGAUUAUGAUACAAAUAAAUGAGACUAAAAAAAGGGAUGUACGUUAGGUAUGAUGCAAUUGGAUUAAAUCAUACACUUAAAAUGAGUAUUAAUUCGAUUAAUAUGCAAAAAAAAAUGCUUGUAUUACUCUAAUUCUAAAAAUAGGAAAAGAUGUUCACAAUUUUAGAAAGCUUUUAGCAAUCAAAGAAAGUAAUCGCCUGCUUUUACAAUUUAAGUUAAAAUCUAUUUUGAGGUCACAGUCGAGGGGAGGAGGGUUUUUCUGAUUUUUGUUAGAUGUAAAUUAAGUUUGAUUUAAACAUUUUUAAAAAUUAUAUUUAUGAUGACAAAUUUUAAAAUUUUUUAUUCAAAUAUCUUCAAAAUUGUCUCACUUUUAGCGUUCAAAUAGGUCUCAAAAAAUGCUCCAUUUUCAAACCUAGAAAUGCUCCAUUUUCAACUGAUUGCCUUAUUGGAUUGUGACCACAAUUCCUUUAUGGGCAUGUAAUGUGUAAGGUAAUGACAUCAAUAAAACCAGCAUUUUCAGCGCAUCAACUCCAUCACCCACUAAAGUUGCUUCAUUAAUACUUUUUGACAAAAGCCACCUCCAAACAGCAUGGGCUUUGCUGGCCACCAUGGGCAUCUCUGGAGAGCUAUCAUCCACACAUUCCCACACAAAAAAUCACCUUCAACUCAGACAACCAUUCACAUUAGAAUUUCAUAUCUGAAUCUGUUUGAGAAUAUUGGACAUCUUAUUCUAAUGCCCAACAUUAAAAUAGGGAUUUUUUUUAUUUUUUAUUUCACUAAAAAGGCAACAUCAUUUCUGCGAUGUGGGUUGGGUUGCAUUUUUGCCUUCUGUUUUAUGAAAAAUCCCUAUCAACCCUUUAAUCAAAGGGUAGACUGAUAAGGACGGUUUGUUGGGGAGGAUUCAAAUGGAAAAUUUCAACUGCCAUACUUGUUGCCACUGCACAAUGAUGAUAAAAAAAUGUUGGGUUUUCAUGCAUUUUUGCUAUGUGACUUGAUGCAAAUUCUUUGGAUGGUUACAAAUCAAAUCAUUUGAAUGCUGAUUUUUGCUUGCUUCCACUUUUGGUUAACAGGGUAAUUUGUUUCACAUUUACUAAAGCAUAGGUGUUGAAAGUGGUUUUCAGAUCUGGGUAUGUGUCUAGGUGUUUGAUUUUCUAUACCGACUACCAAGGAUCUCAGUAAUGGAUAUGGACAUUUAAGUAAGACAAAAUAAUUGAAGAAAAACAAAUCUAUUAGACAUGAAUUAGGACAAACUUAUCUUUGAUAACAACUCUCCAUCAAAAGAAAAGCUGGAGAGUGUGAUAUCAUAGGGGUCAAAUCAUAAUAUCCCAAUCACCUUUUAAUUUUUUGUUUUAGCAUGCAUUUCAUUUAAGAAUUAUGGAUUUAUUUGGUAUGCUGAAAAUGAACCCAUUUUAUUUGAGAGUGAUAAUGAUAACUAUACUGUUUUGAAGCUGAAGGGUUUCUGAUGUGCCACAUCAGUCUCUACAAGUUGUCUUGGACAAAGCUUUCUGUUGUAGCUUCUACAACAUCACAACAUCACUCUGCCCCUUAAAAACCUUUUGAUUAGGAAAUAUGAAAAGAUCAGUAGUCUUUGAAUCAGUGGGGUUGGUUGGGAGACUUAAGGACUAUUAACUUUUGACAAAGAAAACUGCCCAAGAUUGACAAAACCUUCACUUGGGGUUGUAUUGUUUUCAAACUAAUCAACAUAAUUAAGAUCAGCAGAGCUAUUAGAACAAAAUGGGUUGAAAGAGAAUGAGUACUUAUGAUCCAUAAAAACCAAAUUAGUCUAAUUAGGAAAGAAGCGCAAAACCGUUCUACUUUAUGAACUUAGGCUCUUUUACAUGACCUGAGACGCCUAUACUUUAGGAAAUUUUUACCUACUACUCCUAAUUUUCAUUCUUUUGAACUUUUGAGACCAUAAAUAUAUACUAUUUGGAGUUGCAGACUUCUAGUUGAAUUUAGAAUAGAGCCCAUUUCAAGUUUUUGUGCAGGUAUUCUUUUCUUUCCUCUUUGUUUUGAAAUUUUGAAUGAUUUUUUCUGACCCCAUGUCUUAAAUUCGUUUGAAGUUGAGGAAAUGUCUUUUUAACCCUGGGAAACUGUAUUGGUUUCUUAGUGAACUAAAAAUCUGGUUAAUAGCAGAGUGAAGGGCUUUAAGCAGCCUCAGGGUUGGGUGGGGGUGGGGUAUGAUCCCUGGUCUGGAGGCUAGAGCACGUGAAUAUACCAUAUGAGCAAUCUUAGUAUGUAUAAGGGGCUUUGGGAUAAAUUUCAGUUGACAUGUAGAGUUGAUUCACGUGCAGUGCUUUCAUAUGCCUUUCUUUGGGACUUUAACAACUGAAAGGAAUGAAAGAUCAGUAAGUACCAUGUACAGUUAUACCAAAACCAUGAAAAUUCGAGUAAUUCAUCCCUUAGUUUCGUAAAAGCUUUGUAUUUAUGAGUGCUGGUAAGUAGGUUUACGGAUAAAGAGAACACAAAAGAUGCAGCUGUGCAGUUGAGAGCUCAUUCAAUGAGGAUAAUGGCCUUUUAUCAAGAAAACCGGUGAGGGUUGUUACUAUCUUUCUCUCCCCUCAUACACAAGUCAUCACAAUGGGACCCUAGCCUCAUGUGAGGCCCUUAAGUGCAAUGUCGGUGAGCCUCUUAAACCAUCCUCCUAUGAUCUUUAUAUAACAAGGUCUAAUGGACUGAAACCACUCAAGCCUUCGAUCAGACUAGAGAAGCUUGUAGCUUCUCAAUUUCAUUAUCUUCUCUAUAUACCUGUAAUCAUUGGGAGCCAUAAGGAGGUUCCAAUGCAGGUUCUCCCCAUUUCUCGAGGGGCACUUCUGUGCUUCUGGGUGUCCUUGCUAUUUUCUGCAAGCUUCUGCCAUGGAAGUGUUCAGAAAGUUGAGGUAGUUGGAAUUGGAGAAUGUGCAGACUGUAAGCAGAGGAAUAUUAAGACUAGCCAAGCCUUUUCAGGUACAAUUUUUCUUAUGGUUUCCAUGUAAAUUAGUCUUGUCCUAAGAUGGGUACAUGGUAAUACUUUUUUGAGUCUCCAACUUUAGCUUCAUGAUGUAUUGCAUUUCUUGCCCUCAACCUUGGAAAGAGCCAAUGAAUGGCUUGGUUUCAAAUGGGUUUUGCUGGUUCUUUGCUUGAUAGCUUCCAUGCUGUGCAUUCUACAGAGAUGGAAGGCAUUAUGACCUCUAUAACUUCUUCAUGGUCCCCAUUAUCCUUUCACAUUCAAAAUCAGUACAGUUCUGGCAUGAAAAUGGCAUGCCAGAAACUUAACAGAAAAGCCAACUUAAAGUUACUUCCAUUCAGAUCUUGGCCAGUCCGAAGUAUACUCCAUGUUGCCUGGUUUGUAUUCAAGUAUAUGAAAAAUGUGAUACUAACACCUGAUGGUAACAUGUAAGGCUUUUAGGUUUGUCCUUCCAGGUUAGGAGUCCAGCAUAAUUUCUGGUGGAAGAAUGAUAUCUAUAGUUGAAUUUGGUUAAUCCCCCUGUGAAUUACUUAUACUGCAACAGUCCAAACAUACAACUAAUACUGAAGAGCAUAACCAUGAGCUUUUGCAUGAAUUUUUUGUGCAGGUCUUCGUGUUACAAUUGACUGCAAGCUAGCAAAUGGAGAGUUCAAAACAAGGGCAGUUGGGGAGCUUGAUGAAGAAGGAAAAUUCAAGGUCUCCCUCCCUGAGGAGAUUGUAAAAGAUGGAGAGUUAAAAGAGGAAUGCUUUGCACAGCUUCACAGCGCAUCAGCUACACCAUGCCCUGCCCACAAUGGCCUAGAGAGCUCCAAGCUGAUCUUGAAGACUAAAGUUGAUGGCAAGCAUACAUUUGGCCCUGCUGGAAAACUGAAGUUCUCACCAGCUACCUGCACUUCAGCCUUCUUAUGGCCUUACUACAAGCACCCGCAGCUUCCCAAAGUCUCAUGGCCCAAAUUGCCACCCUAUUCCAAAUCUCAUCCAUGGUAUAAGCCCAUGCCCAAGAUCUACCUUCCACCUAUCAAAUUUCCUCCACUCCCGCCAAAGGUCUAUCCUCCUUUCACAUUUCCUCCACUCCCUCCAAAAGUCUUCCCUCCACCAGUGCCAAUCUAUAAGAAACCGCUACCACCCCCUGUGCCAGUGUACAAGAAGCCAUUACCACCCCCAGUACCAGUAUACAAGAAGCCGUUACCACCCCCCGUACCAGUAUACAAGAAGCCGCUUCCACCCCCAGUGCCAAUAUACAAGAAGCCGCUUCCACCCCCAGUGCCAAUAUACAAGAAGCCGCUCCCACCCCCAGUGCCAAUAUACAAGAAGCCGCUCCCACCCCCAGUGCCAAUAUACAAGAAGCCGCUCCCACCCCCAGUGCCAAUAUACAAGAAGCCGCUCCCACCCCCAGUGCCAGUAUACAAGAAGCCGCUCCCACCCCCAGUGCCAGUAUACAAGAAGCCGCUCCCACCCCCAGUGCCAGUAUACAAGAAGCCGCUCCCACCCCCAGUGCCAAUAUACAAGAAGCCACUACCACCCCCAGUGCCAAUAUACAAGAAGCCACUACCACCCCCAGUGCCAGUGUACAAGAAGCCGCUUCCCCCACCUGUUCCAGUUUAUAAGAAGCCACUUCCUCCACCUGUUCCAGUUUAUAAGAAGCCACUUCCUCCGCCAGUCCCAGUAUAUAAGAAGCCGUGUCCUCCAGAAAUUCCUAAGAUCCUUCCACCACCAAUACCAAUAUACAAAAAGCCGCUUCCACCUUUUGUUCCAAUCUACAAGCCAAUUCCACCUAUCUCCAAACCUCUUCCUCCAUUUCCUCCAAUUUAUAAGAAGCCAUGGCCACCCAUUCCUCAAGUCCCUCUUCCUAAAUUUCCUCCUGUCCACAAGUUUCCUCCAAAGUACUUCCACCACCCCAAGUUUGGAUUUGGUUCUCCUGUACCACCUUAUUCUUCUCAUCCAUAGGUUAUCCUAGUUUACUUUUCAUGAUCAUUGUUUCAUAAGGAAGAGGUUGGCAUGCAUUGUUGGUACUAGAAUAAGUUAAGCCUCCAUGGUAGAGAGUACUUGAGAGUGGGAGAAAGACAAAACCUGAAUCGUUGUUAAUUAUUUCCAGUAAUGAAAUGAAUAUGUAUGUGUGGAUUGUUCUUAUUAUCACAUUAUGGCCUCUGAACCUUGUAAAUGUUCUAUGGUCUGUGAAUGCAUCUAUGGAAUAUUAAUAUGUUCACUUAAAUGAAAACAAUAGUAUUUUCACUUUCAUUUCAUCUGAAAAUUUCACUUUAAAAAAUGCAUUACCACUUUGUUUUGAUCUCCAUAUUCAUGAAUGUAUUCUGCAGAAAUCGUAAUUUUCUUAUUGAUUUACAAGACUCUCAAGAAUAUUCACAAGAAGAGAAUAAUAAUAUAAAAGAGCUUUGAUAGACUGAAGGUUAUCCUUGGGCACCUGAUAAACCAAUUCAUCAACCUGCCAUUUUUCCAUUUACCAAAGAAGCUAGUCAGAAUACAGAGGUUGUUUUGUCUAGUAAGGUAAGCAAACUCUCACCACGACCGACUAACAACGGGCAACCCAGUUAUGAUAUUAGCAUCUUGGGAUUUUUUCUCUACAAGGCCCUUAAUUGGGUUCAUAUAUGGACCCCAGAAUGUUUGUACUCAUUAAGCUUUUCUUUUAUUGAAAAAAAUCACAAUUAGAUCUCAUGUUGUGAAUUAAAAAUGGCAGGUUGACAAUUAAAUGUGGUGAUAAUCCUUGUUUUCUUUUGCCUGUUCAUUAAUUGCUCUGUUAAAAUUGCAGAAUGAUUUGAAAUACCCAUUAGAUUGCCCUGGUGAUACUUUUAUUAGUUGCACCAAAUCUGAAACCGAAUACUGAGCAAACCCUUAUGGAAAAAUUAAUAAGCAGUCCAACCUAAGUGUAGGCUUCUCAGGGGAAAGCUCAACUUACCUUGGAUACAAUAACAGAAAGAAUAGAACAAAUUCGUCCUUACAACACAUGAAAGAGAGUGACCAAAAGAGUGUCCUCCCACCAGAAUGGCUGGUGAAACAUUAUGACAACAACAGAAAUUUUACAUGUUCACAACAUAGCUGUGUGGUUCAUAUAGCAGCAUUUGUUAGGCAAAUUAAUUAUGUGUUCAUGGAACAAGCAACAUGAGAUCUGUCAAGGAACAAUGGUAACAAAAAUCAACAGUAAAGUACAGUCCAGAGUUUUACCAAAAGCAUAAGCAUUUCAGCAAUUCAGCUUUCUAUAAAAGCAAAAUUUAAAGUAUGCUGGUAAGUAGGUUUACAGAUAAUAUAAACUGCAGAUGUGCAGUGGAGAGCUGAUUCAAAGAAGUGAAUGGCCUUAAAUUGAUUAAAAAAAACUGGUGAGGCUGUUACUGUUUUUCUCUCCCCUAUUACACAAAUCAUAAUAAAGGGUAUCUAACCUCAUGUAUGGCCCUAAAGCAUGGUGUUGGUGAGCCCAUUAAAUCGAUUCCUCAAGAUCAUUAUACAACAAGGUCUUUAAAUCUCAAGGGCCUAAGUCAAUGAAGCUUAACAUCAACCUAUAGAAGCUCAUGGCUUCUUCAUUUCAUUGUCUUUUCAAUUUUUUUGUUUGUCAUUAUAAUAGGGGAUCAUAAGGGGGCUAGGAUUCCCAAUAUGGACACAACCUAUAUGUGAAAGGGGCACUUCUCGGCCUCUGGGUGGCACUGCUAUUUUCUGUGAGCUUCUGCCAUUGCAAUGUGCAGAUUGUGCAGAGAGUAAUAUUAACACCAGCCAAGCCUUAUCAGGUAUGUUAUUUUCAAGCUACCAUAUACAGAUUUGUCUUGUCCUGUGAUGGGCACAUGGUCAAUUUUAAGUGUCUAGGGUUGUCCUUGCCAUAUGCUGCAAUGCUAUGCCAUGUUUUCCUGCAUACAAUUCUUUCAAGACUUCCAAAUAUCAUUUCCUUGGGCAUAGUUGAUCCAUGGGCCUGUCUUUAAGAUUCCUAACGCAGAUAUGAAGGCCUUGUGGUCUUUUAUGUUCCAAGGAUGUGACAAUGACAAUGGCAAUAUACUGUAUUUAUAUUCAUGAUCCAAAUGCUCUACAAGUCCCAUUAUCCUUCCUCUGUCAAUUUCAGCAGUUUUUGUAUGAAAAUAGGAUGGUUGAAAGUAAGAAAUUCACCGCUCCAAACCUGCUCCUCAAGCCAGUGAAUGUUUGACAUUGAAAGCUGUUGUUAACAUCUAAGGCUGCAAUGCCCAAAUCUAAUACGAGCCCAGGUCUGAACAAUUAAUAUUGAAGAACUUAUCCAUUGUUUUCUGUAGGCCUUGGCUUAACCAUUGACUGCAAGCUAGAAAAUGGAGAGUUUAAAACAAGGAAAGUUGGAGACAUCAACCAAGAAGGGAAAUUGUAAGUUUUUCUUCCUAAGGAGACUGUAAAAAGACAGUUCAAAGAGGAAUACCUUACACAGUUUCUCAGUGCAUCAGCCGCACCAUGCCCUGCCCAGAGUGGCCUGCAGGCCUCCAAGGUAAUUUUGAAGUCCAAAAUUGAAGGCAAACACAUAUUUGGCCUGGCUGGAAACUGAAGUUCUCAUGAAAAACAUGCACUUCUGCAUUCUUAUGGCCUUUCUAUAAGUACCCACCUCUACCUAAGCUGCCACCUUGGCCCAAGUUGCCAUCCUUUCCCCAAAAAUCACCCAUGGUUUAAGCCCUUGCCCAAGGUUCAUCCUCAAACAAACACUGGUCUACAAGAAACCACUUCCACUACCAGUGUACAAGAAGCCACUACCACCAGCAGCAAUAAUAUACAAGAAGCCCCUUCCACCACAUUUCAGUUUAUAAGAAACCACUUUCACUGUCUGUUCCAGUUCAUAAGAAACCACUUUCAUCACCUGUUCCAAUUCAUAAGAAAACACCUUCACCACCUGUUAUGGUUCAUAAGAAAUCACAUCCUCCUGCAAAGCCAGUAUUCAAGAAGCCCUGGCCACCUCCUGUCCCUGUUGUUAAGAAGCCACUUCCAUCUUCUGUUCCCAUAUACAAGAAGCCACUUUCCUUUCCCCUUCCAAUUCACAAACCAAUACCAGCUUUCUAUAAACCUCUUCCUCCACUCCCCCCAGUUUAUAUGAAGCCAUUUUCUUCCUAAACCUCUCUAACCCUAUAUUUGAUUAAAUAUAUUCCAAAUCGUUGAAUGAAGACUGAGUAGCUAGGGAAAAUUGACUUAAGGAAAUUUAUAGUUAAAAUCCUAGAAUUUUCAAAAACCCAAUUUUAGAAUUCAGAGAGUGAGCAAUCCAAAGAUCUGAAGUUUAGGAUCAAAUCUAUCCUUAAGACAAAUUUGCAUUUGAAACCUAGUUUUAUCCUUUCCUGUUCUGAUCACUAAAUCAAAUACAUAAAUCAAUUAGGCUUUUGGUUCAUAUGUCAAACCUGCCAUCUAUCUUGUAGAUUCAGGUUUCAAAUAGAUCAUAGUAGAUUUGAUUGACUAGUGAUCAAGGAAUUACUAAACAUCACUAGCAACCUAAUAGAUAUCUACCGUAUUGUAUUCUAAUCCAAAGGAUACAGAGAAUUUAUUCUGUCCAUUAAAUCAAACGUAAACCCUAAUCCUUUUAUUUAACUUUAUGGCACUCAUUGCUCCUCCUUGUCCUGCUCUUCUAUCUUCAUGCUAUAAUUCCAGAUGGAAAGGUCUUAGCUUCUAAUAGUCAGGUUUUCACUCACAGAAACUAUAAGAAAACAAAGAUCUAUAUGUAUUGCAAAAUGAGAAGUAAAGAGCAAAUUUCAGAAGUAUCAAGGAUAAUAGUAUAAUAUCUUUCUCUGUAUCUCUAAUUUUUUCAACCCUAAAAAAGGUAGUGAGUGCCCCAUGUCGUGUCUACGUGAUUUACCAUCUCUAGAAGUGCAUAUUUGGGAACCAAUCAGACCUGUAUGGAUUGUUCUGGUUGUUUCACUGUGACUUUUGGACCUGGUGGAUGUUCUGAGUUAAUAUGCCUGGACCUAUCCAAAUGAUGGUACAUCUAACUUUCAUUUAUACAAAUAUGAACCCCCAAGUCAAAGUAAUGGAUCAAGACUGCAUAACCAAUUUCUAUAUAUGCAAAGAAUUUCAGAUGGAAAACUAGGGAAAAUGGGAGGGAAGCAACCAAUCAUUUCUUUCUUUUUCCUUCAUUACUGGUUUGAUUUUAUCAGAUAUGACUGCUUUCUACUCCCCCAAGUAUGAAUGCCCAUUUCCUCUCUCCAAAAUCCAUCCACCCUCCUUCUCCCCUUUUGUUUUAGCAUGAAUUAGGCCUCAUAUCUCUAGCAUGGCAAAACCAUACAUGCAGGAAAUUUCAGGUAUAAAACUCUCCAGAGUGCUGAUCCCUGAUCCCAGGUUCUGCUUUUGAUCAGUAACCUAAUUCACUGCAUGAAAACCAUCAUCCUGAAUGACAUAAAUAUUUGAUUAGUCAGAAAAAUUCACCACCUUUUGUUGUACAAGAGAAUAAUGAAGAGGUUUGGUGGAGUAGAACCAAUAAAUGACCACAUUUUAUCUUGGUGAGAUAGUUGGGCAUUUAUUUUCUGCCACCCCUAUCCACGAAAGAUCCUUCUCGAUCAGAAAAUUAGCUAAUAUAACCAAGGCCAAAGUCUUGUUUUAUCUGCAGCAAAAUAAGCAAUCUUCAACAGGGGCAUAAACUACUAUUAGCAUCCUGAUUGGUCUCAAUUGGGUUCAUAUACUAGUAUAAGCCUCUUAGCUACAAGGGUAAGGUAGAUGUGAGCUUGAUCUUUCUGUUCAUUACCCUAUUAAUAUUUUUACAAUGAUUUUGAAAAACCCUCAUUAAUUUGCAUUCAUGACACCUUUGUGGCUAAAAUAAAUAAUCAGAUAGGAAACAGCAAAUGAAAAGAAUUAGAAUGGACUUAUCUUCACUACAAAAGUGGCACUUGAAAGGUGUUAUCCAAAGCAGUCCCACAAAGAUGCCUGGUGGUUUGGAGGCAGGUGAACCAUAAUAACAACAUGCAUGUGUAAACAAAUUAUGCAUUCAUGAAGGUCAGAAUUGGUGUUGUGAUCGAUCUUGUAGGGCUUAAGUUUUGAUUUUUGUGGCAUUUUGGGAAACCCAGUUUUGGCAUUUAUCGGCCAACCCAGGUCUCCAUUUCUGUUUAUGUAAUGAUCUUAUUUAUUUAUUUAUUUGUUUGUUUAUUUCUAUGGACUGGCUUUAUUCCUGUGCUCAAACUUAAGGUGUCCCUGGUUUAGGGUGAAUUGGGUUUAAAAAUGUAGUCUAUUACAUAUAGUUGCAUAUUAGUUUUAGAAGCAAAAAUUUCCUAGAUGUAGUCUUUGCUAUAGCUACUAGCAGUUCUGAAUAUAUUUUUCUUGUGGAGGUCUUCUAAUAAUCUGCAUUAAGUGCUUUUACCUAAGUUUUCAAUAAAUUUCUCCUUCAAAAUGGAAAGAUUAUCUAAAUCAUUGUUGAGAAAAAAAAAACCCAGAUAAUUAUCUGGGUUAAAGUUUGGAUUUCUCUACUCUUUUUCUCACCUUUCUGAGCAACUAAAUAUUUGGAUUUAGAUCAUAACUCAUAUGAGUCUUUGAAUUUGUGCUUAGUGACCUGACCAAGCCUCCUACGAUGAGUGCAAUCAAUUCAACUGAUUUGAUCCUAGCCCAAGCUCAAUCCAAGUUGGAAAAUUUGAAUUAGAGGUUUUUGUUGUAUCAAACUUGGGGUAUGGGACCUAAAUGAUAAGGUUGGAUUGCUAGGAAGAGUUUUACUAGAGCAUGGGCAUUUCAGCAACUCAACCUACUAUUUUCAUUGAAGCAGAGUUUUAUGAGUGCUUGGUGAGUAGGUUUACUGAUACAAGAACACCAAAAUGCAGCUGCCAAGUGGACGGUUCAUUCAAUGAGGUUAAUGCUAUUUGAUGUACAAACUUAGUAGGCUUUGUCACAGUCUUUUCUUUCCCUGCAAACACAAACCUUCUCAAUUCAUCUAGAGCUCCAUGUGAUGCUUUUAAAGAGAUGUCAGUAAGCCUCCAAAACCGGUUAUUUACUAUCAUUAUAUAACAAGUGUAGGACUCAAGUCACUCAAGGUCUGUAUCAAACAACAGAAGCUUGUAAAGCUUGUAGCCUCUCAACUAAGAUUUUGCCAUUGUCUUCUCUUAUUGUGAGCCAUAAGGGGCAGGGUUCCCAAUGCAGGUUCUUCCCAUAUUUCAAUGGGCAGGUCUAGGCUUCUUUAUAUCCCUGCUGUUUGCUGUGAGCUUCUGCCAUGGCAACAACCAGGAAGUCAUGGUCGUUGGGACAGGAGAAUGUGCAGACUGUGAUCACAGUAACAUUAAGACUAGCCAAGCAUUUUCAGGUAGUCAGUCAUCUUUUUACUACCUACUCAAUUGGGCUUCUCUUACUGUCUAGUUUCACGUCAGAUUUUUUCUAUAAUGCCAUGAUCUGAAUAAACAACUAAUGCUGAAGAUCAUAACAGUGAACUUGUGGAUUAUUUUGUGCAGGCCUCGGUGUAACCAUUGAAUGCAAGCUAGAAAGCGGGGAGUUCAAAACAAGGGCAGUUGGAGAGCUUGAUGAAGAAGGGGAGUUCAAACUUCCUCUUCCUAAGGAGAUAGUAAAAGGUGGAAAGUUGAAGGAGGAAUGCUUUGCACAGCUUCACAGUGCCUCGGCAAAACCUUGCCCAAUCAGAAAUGGCCCAGAGGCUUCCAAGAUAAUUUUGAAGACCACAAACAAUGGCAAACAGGUGUUUGCCCCGGCUGGGAAACUAAAAUUCUCGCCAGUGACAUGCACUUCAGCCUUCUUAUGGCCUUUCUACAAGUACCCGCCUCUUCCCACACUUCCACAUUGGCCCAAGCCUCUGCCCAAGUUCUACCUUCCACCUUUCUCUCCAGUCCCUACUCCAAUUACAUACCCUGCACCAGAAGCUGAUCCUCCAGUCUCUCAUCCCCCACCCCCACCAGUCUAUAAACAACAAAUUCCACCAAGUGUGCCACCAUACACAGCCCCAUCUCCACCUCAAGUCUAUGAUCAACCAAGUCCACAACCAGUAUACUACGAGCCACAUCCACCACCAGUGCCCAUAUACCAUAAGCCCCUUCCUCCACCAGUACGAGUGUAUGGACAACCAUUUCCAUCGCCAGUGCCAGUAUACAAGAAGCCACUUCCACCGCCAGUGCCCAUAUACAAGAAGCCGCCUCUUCCAUCACUUCCACCACCUGUGCCAGUUCAUAAGAAGUCACUUCCUCCACCAGUUCCAGUAUAUGAAACGCCUUAUCCACCUCCUUUUCCUGAGCAACCGCUUCCACCACCAGUACCAAUAUACAAGAAACCACCACUUCCACCACCAGUUCCAGUUUCUCAGGAGCCACUCCCACCACCUAGUCCAGUGUAUAAUGAACCACUUCCUCCUUCUCCAGUUCCAGUUCUCAAGAAGCCUAUUCCACCUAUUGUUGAGAAACCACUGCCACCACCUGUGCCAAUAUUCAAGAAGCCAGCACUUCCACCCCCGGUUCCUGUCUACAAGAAGCCGCCACUUCCCCCACCUCCACCACCUGUUCCAGUCUAUGGGGAACCAUUGCCUCCUCCAGUUCCAGCCUUCAAGAAGCCAUAUCCACCGCCUCUUCCGAUAGUAGAGAAGCCACUUCCACCUCCAAUUCCAAUUCACAAACCAAUUCCUCCAAUCUCCAAGCCUGCCCCAACUCCAGAGGUCCUUCCUGCUCCACCUCCAAUUUACAGUCCAAAACCUCCAAUCCUCAACCCUACUCCAAAGCCAAAAGUCCUACCACCACCACAGCCAGUACCCAUAACCAAAAAGCCACUUCCACCACCUGUUCCCAUUCAAAAACCAGUACCAGCAGCCCAAAAUCCUCCUCCAGUUUACAAGAAGCCACUUCCACCCAUUCCCAAAGCCCCCGCUCUUCCUAAGCUUCCUCCUCUGCCCAAAACUCCUCCGAAGUACUUCUACCACCCAAAGUAUGGACUGGGUAACGCCAAACCACCUAGUUCAUCUCAUCCGUAGGUCACCAUAGUGUCCUUCCCAGGUGUAAUUAGGAAUAAACAAUGGUUCUGCAAUAAAUUAAGCAUCCAUCGCAGAUAAAAAAACAGUCAAAAGAACAAGAAAAAUGGAUGUGGGUGUGUGUCGAUUCUUUUUUUUUUUUUUUUUUUUACUUGAUUGUGCCUUUACAUUAGACAGUGACUAAAUCUUCAAGGCCUGUAACCCAUCUGUGAUGGGUAAUUAUGGAGGCUGAUGAAGCAACCAUUGGUUUCAUUUUCUUGUCUGCUGAUUCAAUCUCUUGAAUUCAAACUGCUAUCUAGUUUACAAUGCACACAUAUGAUUAAAUCUCCAAUUUUUCUUAAACCUUUCUGCCAACAAAGAUUGUGACUUCAAGAGUGGACCACUAAACCCAUAGGAAAACUAUAGCUACUUCAGAACCCGUUCAUAUGUAUUAGACCAUAAAAGAACAUAUGAUAAAGUCAACGAAAGUUGAAACCCUAUCUUUCUCUUUGAUUUCUAAAGUGGUGAAAGGUGUGUUUAAAAGAUUUUACGCCUACAAAUUCAUUGGAAUUGCCUGUGUUAUUAGUGAAUAAAAGUGGUGGGGUGUUACAUUGGUACUUCUAACUAACAAAACCACAUCAAUGGUUUUUAGUUUUCAGAGUAAUAGAUCUUUAGUAGAUUCUAUUUGAAAUUUUAAAUUUAUUAAAAAAAACAAUAAUUUCCAUCCGACCUACCGGAUUCGAACCAGUGACCUAAGGAUUACUAUAAGGUUAAACCCACUACAGUCCUCCGCUCUACCAACUGAGCUAAGGUCGGAUUGAUUAAUAAGCCUAUAAUUAAUAUAUAAACGUAUUAACUAAAAUAAAUAACUAUAACCUUUUGUACAACCUUAUGUUUUUAUCUAAACGUUUUUAUGCACACAUACGAUUGAAUCUCUAAUUUUCAUCAAACCUUUAUAGCAACUAAGAUUGUGAAUAUGAGUGCCACUAGACUCAUAUGAAAAUACUAGCUUCUUUAGAACCCAAUUCAUAUUAAAACAUAUGAUAAAAUCAAAGAAACUUGAAACCUUAUUUGUCUAUUUGAUUCCUUAAGUGGUGGAAGUUGUGUUUUAAAGAUUUUAGGUCUACAGGUUCACUGGAACUUCCUAUGUUACAAGUGAAUAAAAGUAGUGGGAUGUUACAUUGGUGAUACCCAACCAACCAAACUACAUGGAUCAAAUUAUGUUAUUAUUGAAUAAAAAUGGUGGUUGUUGAUCGCAAAUCUCUAUUGUAAAUAAAAUACUAAAACCUAAAUACAUGAUAACUCUGACCAAGAAAAAACCAAAAAUAGAGUUACCACAACUUUGUAGUAUUCCGGGUUGUCGUCCUCUAGGAUUAGUUGUAAUACUUUUAUUUGUUCUUAGAUUCAAAAGAUUAAUUAUUUAUUAAAGGUAAAAAAUAUCUAAUUCAAAUAAAUCAAAAUAAAACAUGGAAGAAAAAUUUCCUAAAUAAACCUAUUGAAAUUAUAAAAUAAUUAUUGAUUUUUACUUCAAUUAAUUAAUCAAGAUUGGGGUUCCACAAUCCAACAUCAAGUAUAAACUUUUAGGCAAAACAAGGCUAUAUAAUUUAAUAAUCUUAGGGUAAUCAAAAUGCAUGGUUUAACGAGAUCAACCUGAGUUAUACACCUCAGAGUUGAUCUAUAUCCUAACUUUUAAUAUUUUAUUUCAUUAAAUUACCUAAUAGAUGAAUGAACAUGAAAUCUAAGUUUAGGUCUAAGGUUUUUAGGUUUUUACCACUCUAUGUAGAUUUGCCUUAGGGUAGAUAACAAUGACAAAACCUUUGAUAACUAGAGAUCAAGAAUUACCAAGAAUCCUUAGUAUCAAGAAAUAUGGGAUUGUAUCAUUUCCUAAGUC